UCGAGAAUUUUUCUCAAUGGGGGCAACCCUGAAGGAGCGACGCCGCGUGGAGGAUGAAGGUUUUCGGAUUGUAAACUCCUGUCAUUGGUGAACAAGAGUCCCCGUUAACUGCGGGAGGCUUUGCUAGUAGCCGAAGAGGAAGGGACGGCUAACUCUGUGCCAGCAGCCGCGGUAAUACAGAGGUCCCGAGCGUUGUUCGGAUUCAUUGGGCGUAAAGGGUGCGUAGGCGGCGGGGUAAGUCUGAUGUGAAAUCCUGGGGCUCAACCCCAGAACUGCAUUGGAUACUGCCUUGCUAGAGUACUGGAGAGGAAACUGGAAUUUACGGUGUAGCAGUGAAAUGCGUAGAGAUCGUAAGGAAGACCAGUGGCGAAGGCGAGUUUCUGGACAGUAACUGACGCUGAGGCACGAAGGCCAGGGGAGCAAACGG
rnacentral:rRNA from 1 species